rnacentral:lncRNA from 1 species
UUUGACUAUGCUUUAGGGUUUAAAUAAAAGUUUCCUAAUGUAGUUACUGUGGAUGCUUCCCUGCUGGUGUCUACUAUGUGGAGCCAUGUGCGUAUAAAGAUUGCUUCAACAAGCAUGUCCAUGAGAACACUAUCCUUGCAACUCGCAAACAUAUUGAAUCCAAACAUCCUCUUGCUUUUGCUCCAAAAGUGACUAGGAGCUCGAAUUAUCUAUCUGAAGCUAGGAUUAGCCUGUGAAUUCUAGACUCAAGUUCUGCUUACCUGGUGCUUAAGCUCAUUUAAAUAUUCCCUUUAUUAUUCAUUGCAAGAUAAGUCCAGCAAAACUUCUAUUUCAGCUCAACAUAAGAGGGGAUGCAAUUGCGAAAAAUCUAGUUGCCUGAAGAAAUAUUGUGAAUGCUAUCAAGUUUCUUUUCAUCUUUUUAAGUUUGCAAGCUUUUCUUUAGCCUGUAAGAUAAAAUAUUAUCUUUCUAUUGAAGAGUGGUGUUGGAUGCUCAAUGAUUGUGGUUUUACGAGUCUCGGUAUUAUGAUUUGCAAUUUAUUUUCCUUUCUGGGUUGGGCUUUUUUUUUUUUUUUUUAACUGGCACGGGAGCUAAAGUUUAAAAUAAGAAUCCGAUGUUGGGAUGCUUUGUUAUAUCUCUCAGCUUCCUGACUUCCGUCAAAUUGUCAACCGAAGAUAUCUCUUCA